rnacentral:rRNA from 1 species
UACGAAGGGGGCUAGCGUUGCUCGGAAUCACUGGGCGUAAAGGGUGCGUAGGCGGGUCUUUAAGUCAGGGGUGAAAUCCUGGAGCUCAACUCCAGAACUGCCUUUGAUACUGAAGAUCUUGAGUUCGGGAGAGGUGAGUGGAACUGCGAGUGUAGAGGUGAAAUUCGUAGAUAUUCGCAAGAACACCAGUGGCGAAGGCGGCGACCUGGGCCAAUAUUGACGCUGAGGUGCGAAAGCGUGGGGAGCAAACAGG